AUUGAACGCUGGCGGCAGGCCUAACACAUGCAAGUCGAACGGUAACAGGGAUCAGCUUGCUGAUUCGCUGACGAGUGGCGGACGGGUGAGUAAUGUCUGGGAAACUGCCUGAUGGAGGGGGAUAACUACUGGAAACGGUAGCUAAUACCGCAUAACGUCGCAAGACCAAAGAGGGGGACCUUCGGGCCUCUUGCCAUCGGAUGUGCCCAGAUGGGAUUAGCUAGUAGGUGGGGUAACGGCUCACCUAGGCGACGAUCCCUAGCUGGUCUGAGAGGAUGACCAGCCACACUGGAACUGAGACACGGUCCAGACUCCUACGGGAGGCAGCAGUGGGGAAUAUUGCACAAUGGGCGCAAGCCUGAUGCAGCCGUGCCGCGUGUAUGAAGAAGGCCUUCGGGUUGUAAAGUACUUUCAGCGGGGAGGAAGGGAGUAAAGUUAAUACCUUGGCUCAUUGACGUUACCCGCAGAAGAAGCACCGGCUAACUCCGUG
rnacentral:rRNA from 1 species